GAGGCAGCAGAGAGGCGCCGGCUGCUCCGCGCCCGCCCGGCCGCCCGCCCGCCCCGCCGGGAGGGGCCGCGCGCCGGGCCAGCCGAGCGCCGGGGACCAGAGGCUGCCGCGCGCCCGGGGGAGGAGAUGCUGCGCCGCCGCCGCCGCCGCCUGCACCCGGGGGCCGCGAGGGGCCGGGCCGGGCCCGGGCGCCGGGGACAGACCCGGAGAGCGCGGCCUGGGCCGGAGGAAGGGUGGCCUUUCCCGCAGAGUUGCAGCGAGAGGACUGAAAGUUUUCGCCUGCAGCCCUUGCAGGGUGUCCUGCCCUCGAGGGGCCUCCGCACGGAUCCCCGCGGCUGAGUGGGGUGGAGACGAGCAGGUUGGCCACCUCCGGCCCCCACCCCCACCCCCACGACCACGCCAGGCCGGGGAAGGGACCCCGGUGACUUCGCAUCCCAUGCACCACCCCCUUGACCCGUCCUUCCCUUUCACGGGGGACCUUGGACCUGGAGGGCUCCGCGAACGCCUCUGGGACCUGAGACCGGAGAGUGGAUGGGAGUGGUUCUAAAUAAAUAGCAGCUACUGCCUGCAAUGGGCCAGGCGCCCUGCAGCGAAGGAAAGCAAAUGAGAUCCAGCCCGGUCUCCGCGGAAGAAGGAAGGCGUGAAACUUCUUGGGAAAACAAGACCCGCACACAAUAUUGGGACACAGACACAGACAGGCAUGAGGCAAGAUGAUGUGAAGAGACACCGGGAGAAAAGAGCCACUCACAAAGCAAGGAGAGGCCCAGCACAGACCCUGUCCUCAGCGCUCAGAAGGAACCAGCUCUGCCUACACCUGGAUUUUGGACGUCUAGCCUCCAGAACUGUGUGACCACACAGAUGUGUUGUUGAAGCCACCCAGUGUGUGGAGUUUUGUUCUGGCAGCCACAGCACAUUAUUCGUGUGCUAUGAGCCUCAGUGGUUUCUUACAGCCCAUUUGUCACCAGUCAAGUGUGCCAGGAGCAGGUGCUGAGACAAUAUUUGGGGUGCAAAAUGUUUAUUAGGGAUCAAACCCUGUAAGAGGAAGGGGAAGGAGCCAUCAUAAGAAACAAAUGCAAAUGACAUGACACCAGUUAACAUAUAUGGCCAGCUAGUCCUGCUUUAAAAAUAGAAAAAGCUCAAAAUAAUUGAAUAUCAGAAAAAGUAUAGAUGAUCUUCAAACUUGAUUUAUACCUAUUACACUCUUUAUUAGUUUAUAAAGAGUAUAACAUAAUUAAGGGUUUAUCUAUUUUCAUAUGGAGGGAGCUUUAUAAUCUACUAGUAUAACUUGGAUGGAAUUUUUAAUGCUAAUAACAAUAUUUUACUAAUGUUAAGACAAUACUAAUAUUUAGUUAGAAUUUAAGUCAAUAUAAUUUAAGGUAAAUUUUUUUUCAAAAAAGGGUGGGGAAAGGAUUAAGAUUGGGCAGAGGGAAAAGUUGAAUGAUAAUGUACAUGCAAGGAGGCAUCAAGCAAACCAGUGUCGAGCUCUGGACUUAAUGUUAUCCACCAGGGUUGUCUUGCAUUGGGUCAAAAUGCCUGGGACUUUCUCCCCAUCAGGCUCAGUCACUGGAUACAGGCUGCCACAGGAAAGGUGGCCGCAGGCAAGGAGGCUCUACUGAAGCCGACCCUGAAGGAGUGGGCAGUGGAGGUUUCCUUGAAGGGAACCUGUCUACACAUCUCACAUCUCCCACUCCACUCGUGGGAUAGUGAAGAACAGUACACCGUUAAAAUAUUUUAGUCAGUCUACAUAUCUUGAAUACCUUUAACUUCAUCAACAAGAGUCCAUUUCUAAUACCAUACUUAUUGACAAAGAACUAAUUUCAACAAUAAAAAUUAAUUUCUGACAUUCA